rnacentral:lncRNA from 1 species
CAGGAGCUGGGCGCCCAUGGCCUGGCACUGAGCCCCCUGCCUCCUCCCUGCCUCCUCCCUGCCUCCGGGCCGCGCACCCAGGGAAGCCACAGGAGCUACAGGAAGAUGGCAGGCCUGCCCGCCGCCCCGCCGGCGUUGAGGAGGUGGCUGGGGUUCGGGCUCUUCGUGCUGCUCUGCCUUAGUUUAGGUCCCCGUCAGAGGACUGCAAGGGCUGUCCCCCGUCCUUCUCCGAGGACCUGCUUCAAAGCUCACUGGAGUCCACAGGUCCCUCCUAACCUCAAGAGGCUUGGGAUGAGUCUUCUCAGCUGUGUGAAAUGUUAAUCUUGAAACCACACAAAACUUACUUCUGAGCUGGGGUUCAUUGUGGGUGCAAAAUAAUUUGUGCUUAUUGGCAAUUUGAGUGUUUCAUCACAGCUAAUGAUACUCUGGAGCAAACCUGGGCUGAACAGAGCCUUUGAUUAAAGAUUGAGUGAUGCAAAAUUAGGAGUGUUUCAUGCUGAUGUUGUGAAACUGGGAGAUAUUUGAUGCUGAGUCUCAUUUUGAGUUUCGGUCUCAGAAUCUUAAAACGAAACUCAGAG